GGGCGGUGAUGACCCAGAUUUCUCGAUGCUGACCUGGCCCCAAAGUGGGCUCAGGGCACCGUGCUGACACACUGAAUUUGUGCGUGUCUGAGUCCC
rnacentral:snoRNA from 1 species